GACGAACGCUGGCGGCGUGCUUAACACAUGCAAGUCGAACGGUAAGGCCCUUCGGGGUACACGAGUGGCGAACGGGUGAGUAACACGUGGGUGAUCUGCCCUGCACUUCGGGAUAAGCCUGGGAAACUGGGUCUAAUACCGGAUAGGACCACUGCCUGCAUGGGUGGUGGUGGAAAGCUUUUGCGGUGUGGGAUGGGCCGCGGCCUAUCAGCUUGUUGGUGGGGUGAUGGCCUACCAAGGCGACGACGGGUAGCCGGCCUGAGAGGGUGACCGGACACACUGGGACUUAGAUACGGCCCAGACUCCUACGGGAGGCAGCAGUGGGGAAUAUUGCACCAUGGGCGCAAGCCUGAUGCAGCGACGCCGCGUGAGGGAUGACGGCCUUCGGGUUGUAAACCUCUUUCAGCACCGACGAAGCGCAAGUGACGGUAGGUGCAGAAGAAGGACCGGCCAACUACGUGCCAGCCGCCGCCGUAA
rnacentral:rRNA from 1 species